rnacentral:sRNA from 1 species
UGUUUAAAUAUGUGUAUUAACUAGAUUUUUAACCCGCGGUAUACCGCGGGGACAAUAAAUAUUUUUUUAAGUUAGUAUAUAUAAAAGUUUACAAAUUGUAUCUAUCUAUAAAAAAAAUUUAUUUUAUAGUUUACAAUUGUUAUUAAGUAACAUCCUGCCAAACCCGUCCCGCCAAUCCGUCCCGUAAAAAAACCUAUUUAUUUUAUUAAUGUUGAACUUAUUUAUGAUAUGUUUAUGAAUCAUUGUCUAAAUAUUUUGUAAUUUUGUAAUAAUUAACUGCUAUCAAAUAUCUCUGUGGAUUGAUGCGUAUAAUCGAAUUGUUAUAGUCAUGCAAAAAAGCAAUAUCAAAAAUGAUAAUUUUGUAAUUUUUAAAU